UAUAGUAAAAAAAAAACUGUUAGUGACGUGACAACUAACAAAUGAGGAAGUGACAUCCAAAGUGCGCCCAGGCACAAAAGGACAACCCGGCGUGGUCGGAGGGGGCAGAAUGAUUCAAGACUACAGUCUGGCAAUUUUUGCAAAUCUCAUGGGAAUCACCAUUUUUCUUCUCAUCAUGGUUUACCAUUAUGUUAUGGUUAACACACCAAAAAAAUAUGCACGAGUCAAGAUUGCAUAGGGAGUAAAAAGCUAAAAUGUCCAGAAUGUAAAGAGGAAAACAGAUGCCAUUUUGCAAGAAGCACCAACCCAAGGAUAUUUGGAAGGCCCCUCCAGAUGAUCUAACUUAUUAUUUAAUGUUUGUUUUAUAUUUAAAUACUUUGUUUUA